CACUGGCGGUAUCGUCAGAGACAGCAGCGGCUCUGGUAUGUAGAGGCGGCGGUGAAUGCCUGUUGAGCAAAAACAAGAUAUGAUGAGCUCGGUUAUGAAGAAGAUGAAGAAUAGAUGGAAAGAAUGAAAAAUAAAAGAAGACAAACAACUGAAAAUAAGGUAUCAUAAGGACAGGGAAACCCAAAAUGUUCAAAGCAAUGAAGAAAGUUGC